AGGAAGACCUAAAAAAAAACCCAAGUGGUGAUGAUUGGAAAUAAGAUACCCACGGUGACAGGAACCAAGGUGGAGACGUCGUGCUGGGAAUUGCCUGCAGCCUGGCACAGCAAGUGUGUGCCCAGCUCCUGGCCACCAGCAACUUCAGGAGAGCUGGCAUCAGCCAGAAACAGCAUGGAAGUACUUUCCAGGGAGAAGAAACCCCUUUGGCAUUGCCUAUUUUUGCAGUUUCCUUGGGUUUUGAAGUUUUUGUGGCGUUGGGAUUUUUUGGUAUUGUUUCUAAAAUGCUACAUAAUCCACUCAGGUAUGAAAAUUUAAAAAAUCCAAGAGCAUAGUUUGGCUCAAUAAAGUGCAAGUCUUGUGUCUAAGCCUACAGCAGCAUUAUGUGGAGCAGCAUGUGUGGCAGAGCUAAUCAGUAUAUUCUCAUGUUGGUGUGAGAAGAGGAGCUAAUCAGUAGAUUUUUUGCUGGUGAUUGGCUUAUUUAAGUUGCAGGUUU